CUAUGUAUGAAACAUGCAUCUUACUUGUGGGCAAUCCUCUGUUUCUCCUAGGUGGCAGCAGGUUUGCAGGUCGAACUGGAGAUAGAGAUUUUUGCAAUGGCAAUUGGGGGGGAAGAUACUGAUGGCCUUGAAGAAAUUUCCCAUCAUAUUGAAAUACUAACAGAAGCAGAGAGACUUCUUCUUCCUGUGAGGGCAACUGUGUUAACCAAUGACAUUUAUGAGCACCGCCCACAAGGAUACCCCCAGGGUGGGAUGGCAGCAACAAUCCGGCUGAUUUCUACAAUCCCCAAGGCCCAGUUCCAGAUCAUACUACCCCAAAAGCUUUCUACUUAAUGUCAGAGCCCAGGAAGAAUGACAUAAAGAUCAUCAAUACUGAAAUAUCUGAAUUUUAGUUGAAUGUUUUUAUGAAAACAUCCCCAUAUAGUCCUUUUCAUUUAAUCAAAUUAACAUGAAUAAAUAUUGUGUGUGUCCCCA
rnacentral:lncRNA from 1 species